GUCUUUAGGAAAGGAAAAGGAGAGUCCUUUGCUGUUUGCGAGAGACAUGUAGGACGGACGGUCAAAGCUUCUUUGGCCCCGAAUCAUUCAUUUCCUCUGUCCAAGCAAAAGUGAAGUGGAGUGAAGAGACCCGAAUGUCAAAAGCGACACUCCUCCUCCUAUGAUCGGAUCUCCCAGACAGAGACAGAGACAGAGACACAGACAGACAGCAGCUUCCAUUCCCAUUUUUGACAGGAACAAGCCGAAAGAUGCUUCCUUUGAAGCUCGUCCGCUCUCUCGUCCUCGGAGAAGCCAUCGGUCUGUCCCGUUCCCGGAACCCCCGUGGAAGCUCCCUCUCCGGAGGCGGCGACGACGACGAGGAAGGGGAAAGCGACGAUGAGGCCGAAGAGAGACCCACUUCAAGAUCAAGAUCGAGGAGGAGGAGGACAAGAACAAGAACCGUCGCCAAAUCAAGAACCCCGCUCCUCCUCUUCCUCCCCACCAGAGAGCUCAUCACCGACACGUACACGCUGGCUCACAUUGCCCGAGACAUGGGCAUGGACUUGUACCCCACCCCGUCACUCUCCCACCUCAUCUUCACCUUCCAGUCACCGUCGCCAUCCCCAUCUCCGUCGCCGUCUUCCUCUUCCACCUCCCCGUUGUCCUCGUUCCCAUCCUCGUGGUCGUCCACAUCCCUCACUCCCUCCACAUUCUUGUUCCCUAACGACGCCGUCUCUCUGCCCUUCCCUUCUCUCUCCUCCGCCUCUCUCCCCACCCUCCGCUCCUUCGUCUCCCUCGCCAAGGGCCUCUUCAAGCUGGUGUUCGUGAGAUUGGCCCGCGCCGACGGCGAACCGGUGCACGACGGCACGGUGAACUGGGAUUGUUGCUCGGUUUCGCUGUUCUCACGGGUCGGCGGCGAGAGGAUCGACACGAUGGAUGGGUUUUCUAGGGCUUUGGCCGGCCAUGGGUGGACCCUUUUCAAGACCCGGAAGAACCCGGAUCCGGAUGGGACCAAUGGUAAUUGUAAUAGCAACAGUUCCGUGUAUUUGUUUAGGAAGGUGGAUUUGAACCGGGUCCGGAUGCAGCGGGCGGGUCGGGCACCGGGUGAUAGGAACAUUGGUGGGGAUUGUAGAGUCAGAGAGUUGAGAUUGCCACCUCUAGAUUUUAGGAAUGCUCCGCUCAGGAUCCUGCAGUAUGUUCUUCUCAUGACCGAUGAUAUCUUCUAUCUCGCGUAGGAAAGGCAAGUUUUCUUCUUUACGACUUCCCCUGUUCUAUGAUGUUCAAACGUUGUUUUUUAUUUACUUUGUCGUAGAGGCAAUGUUGAUUAGUGAGGGUUCAUCUCAGUGAGAACGUUUUCUUCUGCCCCUCAUUAUGAUUUUGUGAGGUCAGUGCAAAAAUGUAAGAUACAACAUUGGUUGUAAGCCCUGUGUCGAGUUAUCUGCUAUAGGUAACUUGUGUGAUGGCUCUUCAGGAAGCUAAAAUAUUGCCCCUUAUUCGAGGAUUGGCAGCUGCAUUUUCCUUGAUGAGCUUCUAGCAGUUGAUCAAACUGGUUCACUGUGAGUAAAGGAUUAGCGAAGGAUUAUUGUCCCACCUAUUGGGUGGUUUAUUUGUUUGAUCUGGUUACCUCGUACGAUAGCCAACCGUUGUAUCUGAAGAUCUUUCCUUUUCCUUGUUUUGUUUGGUAGCAAAUAUUCUGUACUUGUUUCCCAGUCAAGAUCUUAGGUAAAAUUACGAAAUGCAGUUAGCCAUAUAGUAUUGAUUGGUGGAGAUGAGAUGAAAGUUAGAGGGAUCCCCCAUUUUAACAUCAAGUUGUAGUUAUUAGUUGUGAAGCCAGUGUUCCAUGAAAAUCGUUCAAACCAUGUAGAAGAAGCGGGGUGUCUUUCUGACCACAAUUGUUCAAUUGUACUGAUAAAUAUGUCCACAUUUCAUAUACAUUAAAGCUAUGGUUGUGGCAUCAGAUGGUGAAAAAUGGCAAGAGAAUAAUAGUAGGUAGAGUACCAUCAUGAUGAUGGAUGCAGGACUUCUUGGUGAAACUUCACAAUGCAUUUGGCUCUCUGGGAUAAUCAGGCAGUCAUUUUUCUUCCACGACAUAAUGCUGGCACUCGUUUAAGUUUAGCAUCACGGCCUUGUGGUAAUCUAACUUGCACAAAAGGUCCAUGUCCAUCUUUCAAAUUCCUGUGUUUGGCAAACAAAUUCUCCAGCAGAGGUUGGCCGCAUGUAACUUAUGAGAAGUGAACGGCAUGCCUGCCCUAUGGUGCGACUUAUUUUGCCUGCCAUCUUUUACAUAAUUGAGGUGCUGUCUGUCGUAACAUGAAGAUGCCUUCCUUCAGCGUCGCCUCUCCUCUCCUCCCUUCCUCAUGCAGAAUCUUGUCAGUGUCUAUGCCCUGCAAUAUCUGCGAGAAUGCGUUGGAGUUUCGUGCUGGCAGUUUUACUCGGUGAUUGCUACAACAGCACAAGACUCACUUUUGACGAGGCAAGAACUGAGCCUCUCUUUUGGUUGCUGACCUCAAUGGCGAGGCAAUCUGCAAUUUUGGUAGUACUUACCAAGGAGAGAGGAUAGAUCCAUUCCAGAGAUUACCCAAACCUAAUGCUACUUUCAGGCAAUGCUGGACUUUGCUGACAUAUGCCACCGGUUGUAGAUACCAACUUUUCAAAGCUCUUCUUUUGUGCAAUGCCACUACGCUGAUAGCUUGUUCUUGUCCUGAAGUGAGAAAAACUGUGCACGUUCUCUCUCUCUCUCUCUCUGGGGUGCAAUUUUCUGUUUGGCCUUUAAUGCAAUGUUAAUUUUAUUAUUCACGUUUACCA